CCUACGGGAGGCAGCAGUGGGGAAUAUUGCACAAUGGGGGAAACCCUGAUGCAGCGACGCCGCGUGAGCGAUGAAGUAUCUCGGUAUGUAAAGCUCUAUUAGCAGGGAAGUAAAUGACGGUAUCUGUCUAAUAAGCCACGGCUAAUUACGUUCCAGCAGCCGCGGUAAUAUGCAGGGGGCAAGCGUUAUCCGGAUUUACUGGGUGUAAAGGGAGCGUAGACGGCUGUGCAAGCCAGAUGUGAAAGCCCGGGGCUCAACCCCGGGACUGCAGUUGGAACUGUGUGUCUGGAGUGUCGGAGAGGCAGGCGGAAUUCCUGGUGUAGCGGUGAAAUGCGUAGAUAUUAGGAGGAACACCAGUGGCGAAGGCAGCCUGCUGGACGAUGACUGACGUUGAGGCUCGAAAGUGUGGGGAGCAAACAGGAUUAGAUACCCGAGUAGUC
rnacentral:rRNA from 1 species